AGUGAACGCUGGCGGUAGGCCUAACACAUGCAAGUCGAACGGCAGCACAGUAAGAGCUUGCUCUUACGGGUGGCGAGUGGCGGACGGGUGAGGAAUACAUCGGAAUCUACUUUUUCGUGGGGGAUAACGUAGGGAAACUUACGCUAAUACCGCAUACGACCUACGGGUGAAAGCAGGGGAUCUUCGGACCUUGCGCGAUUGAAUGAGCCGAUGUCGGAUUAGCUAGUUGGCGGGGUAAAGGCCCACCAAGGCGACGAUCCGUAGCUGGUCUGAGAGGAUGAUCAGCCACACUGGAACUGAGACACGGUCCAGACUCCUACGGGAGGCAGCAGUGGGGAAUAUUGGACAAUGGGCGCAAGCCUGAUCCAGCCAUACCGCGGGGGUGAAGAAGGCCUUCGGGUUGUAAAGCCCUUUUGUUGGGAAAGAAAAGCAGCAGGUUAAUACCCCGCUGUUCUGACGGUACCCAAAGAAUAAACACCGGCUAACUUCGU
rnacentral:rRNA from 1 species